rfam:Camelus ferus unplaced genomic scaffold scaffold390, whole genome shotgun sequence.
GGGGGUAGAGCUGAGUGGUAGAGCGCGUGCUAAGAAUGCACAAGGUCCUGGGUUCAAUCCCCAGUACCUCCA